UACCAGCACCCCGAGUGGUCGGGACGUUUUAUUGGGCCUAAAGCAUCCGUAGCCGGUUCUACAAGUCUUCCGUUAAAUCCACCUGCUUAACAGAUGGGCUGCGGAAGAUACUAUAGAGCUAGGAGGCGGGAGAGGCAAGCGGUACUCGAUGGGUAGGGGUAAAAUCCGUUGAUCCAUUGAAGACCACCAGUGGCGAAGGCGGCUUGCCAAUACGCGCUCGGACGGUGAGGGAUGAAAGCUGGGGGAGCAAACCGGG
rnacentral:rRNA from 1 species